rnacentral:rRNA from 1 species
AGCAGCCGCGGUAAUUCCAGCUCCAAUAGCGUAUAUUAAAGUUGUUGCAGUUAAAAAGCUCGUAGUUGAAUUUCGGGGUUAGUAGAUUGGUCAUGCCUCCGGUAUGCACUGGUCUUACUGAUUCCUCCUUCCUGAUGAACCGUAAUGCCAUUAAUUUGGUGUUGCGGGGAAACUGGACUGUUACUUUGAAAAAAUUAGAGUGUUUAAAGCAGGCUAACGCUUGAAUACAUUAGCAUGGAAUAAUGAAAUAGGACGUUCGAUCUUAUUUUGUUGGUUUCUAGGAUUGACGUAAUGAUUAAUAGGGAUAGUUGGGGGCAUUAGUAUUCAAUUGUCAGAGGUGAAAUUCUUGGAUUUAUUGAAGACUAACUACUGCGAAAGCAUUUGCCAAGGAUGUUUUCAUUAAUCAAGAACGAAGUUAGGGGAUCGAAGACGAUCAGAUACCGUCGUAGUCUUAACCAUAAACUAUGCCGACUAGGGAUCGGAUGAUGUUAAUUUUAAUGACUCAUUCGGCGCCUUACGG